rnacentral:lncRNA from 1 species
UUAAAUUCAAUUUUACUUUAAAUUUUUGGGUACUAUUUUAAAACUUCAUCUACUCUACAUAUUCUAUUAUUUUAAAAUAUGUUGUUUUAAAGUUUUUUCUUUUCUUUUCCCAGCUAUGUUUGAAGUUAGAGAACAUUAAAAGUAAUGUCAUUCACGGUAGCAAAACUACCAAAAAUGCUACAAAACAUAAAUCUUUCCAAAUGUGUCAUAAUGGUGGACAACAAUUUUGUCUACCAAAAUUUUUUUAUGUCGUUUCGAAUUUUUGUCCACCAAAAAUCUGUUGUUUCAAAAGUGGACAAGUUUUUUUCAUCCCAUUUUUUCGUUUCAAAAGUAAUCUUUAUUAAUUACAUCCCAAUUUUUUCGUAUGUAAUGCGGCAGGUGAUUACAAUUCUUACAUAUAAGCGAUAAGAAGAAUUGAAGACGAAAAUUGGAAGGAGGAGCUGAUGGGAAACUUAAAAAAAUCUACACGCAGUGACGAGUUAAGCCGUUCUGGUCCCCCUCAAAUUCCAAAUCCUGACUGGUAAAUUUCGUUUCAUCAAUACCUUCUGCUUAAUAUUAAUAAUAUUGAUUAUGAAAUAUUAUUAACUAAUGUAAAAAAACGCAACUAUAUAAUACGUAACUGUUUUCGGAAACAAAAGAGUUUACGUCAUCAAACAGAAAAUCUUUACCUCAAUUUUUCUUUUGGCCCCGAUGUUUUUUAUACUAGCCAUUUCCUAGGAACGACAUUUCCACUAUUGCGUACUGUUUUGUUUUUCUUUUGACUUCAACGUAUAUUUGCAUGUGCCAAUAGAAUUUAUAUAUAAAUAACAUUUCAUAUGAUACAAAAAAAAAGAAGAUAAUAUCUACUCGAUCGUUUCUAUGGUCUAAAUUGGUUUGUUUAUAAUAGGAA